GCUAAAACACUAGUUCCCCUACGAUCACCGAACGUAAGCAACGUUGAGCCUGAUCAGUACCUAGAUGGGUGACCGCUUGGCAAUACCGGGUGCUGUAA